rnacentral:rRNA from 1 species
ACUCAAAGGAAUUGACGGGGGCCCGCACAAGCAGUGGAUUAUGUGGUUUAAUUCGAAGCAACGCGAAGAACCUUACCAGGGCUUGACAUACUCUGACAGCUCUAGAGAUAGAGUCUCCCUUCGGGGCAGAGAUACAGGUGGUGCAUGGUUGUCGUCAGCUCGUGUCGUGAGAUGUUUGGUUAAGUCCAAUAACGAGCGCAACCCCUGUUGCCAGUUGCCAUCAUUUAGUUGGGCACUCUGGCGAGACUGCCGCGGACAACGCGGAGGAAGGAGGGGACGACGUCAAAUCAUCAUGCCCCUUAUGUCCUGGGCUACACACGUAAUACAAUGGUAACGACAGAGGGCAGCUAACCCGCGAGGGCAUGCUAAUCCCUAAACGUUAUCUCAGUUCGGAUUGUAGGCUGAAACCCGCCUACAUGAAGUCGGAAUUGCUAGUAAUGGCAGGUCAGCAUACUGCCGUGAAUACGUUCCCGGGCCUUGUACACACCGCCCGU